rnacentral:lncRNA from 1 species
GCCCCGCGGGCCUCCCAAGGCAGCCCCCUGUUAGCCCGACCGGCUUCGAAGCCCGCGCCGGUUGCGGAUCCUCCGCCGCGCCCACCUGUCAGCGCCUCGGCCGGCCGGGGCUCCCGCCGCAUGCAAGCAGCGAGGCGAGGUCGCGCUGAGGCCUGGCCAUGCCACGGACGGCCGGGCCUCACCCUGCCGCUCUCUCGCCGUCCAGAGGCCCCUGCUCCACACCUGGGUACCCUGGGUCCUGACUCAGGGCAGCUGGGUGAGAAGCUAACGGCUUGAAGGAACAGGGCUACAAGGGGAGUUUGUGCUGGGCCUGGCGUCCCAGGCUGUGGACUGGAACUGGACAUGAGAACCCCCCCUACACCCUCCCAAGUCAAAGACACUCCAAAAAG